UUUAUUGGAGAGUUUGAUCCUGGCUCAGGAUGAACGCUGGCGGCGUGCCUAAUACAUGCAAGUCGAGCGAAUGGAUUAAGAGCUUGCUCUUAUGAAGUUAGCGGCGGACGGGUGAGUAACACGUGGGUAACCUGCCCAUAAGACUGGGAUAACUCCGGGAAACCGGGGCUAAUACCGGAUAAUAUUUUGAAC
rnacentral:rRNA from 1 species